UUGGUAUAUAUAUAUAUAUAUGUGUGUGUGUGUGUGUGUGUGUGUGGUUGGCAUAUACACACACACACACACAUAUAUGCAUAUAAUAUACAUAC
rnacentral:miRNA from 1 species